rnacentral:misc_RNA from 1 species
UCUCCGUUGGUGAACCAGCGGAGGGAUCAUUGCUGGAACGCGCUUCGGCGCACCCAGAAACCCUUUGUGAACUUAUACCUACUGUUGCCUCGGCGUCAGGCCGGCCUCUUCACUGAGGCCCCCCGGAGACGGGGAGCAGCCCGCCGGCGGCCAACUAAACUCUUGUUUCUAUAGUGAAUCUCUGAGUAAAAAACAUAAAUGAAUCAAAACUUUCAACAACGGAUCUCUUGGUUCUGGCAUCGAUGAAGAACGCAGC